UAGGGAAUAUUAGAAAUGGACGCAAGUCUGAUCUAGCAACACCGCGUGUGCGAAGAAGGCCUUCGGGUCGUAAAGCACUUUUUGGAAGGAAUAGGAAGGAAUGUACUUCCAGAAUAAGUCUCGGCUAACUACGUGCCAGCAGCCGCGGUAACACGUAGGAGGCGAACGUUAUCCGGAUUUACUGGGCGUAAAGCGCGUAUAGGUGGUACUGUAAGUAGGGCGUGAAAGCUCCUGGCUCAACUGGGAGAGGCCGUUCUAAACUACAGAACUAGAGGAUGGUAGAGGGAGGUGGAAUUCCAGGUGUAGCGGUGGAAUGCGCAGAUAUCUGGAGGAACACCGGUGGCGAAGGCGGCCUCCUGGACCAUUCCUGACACUCAGACGCGAAAGCUAGGGUAGCAAACGG
rnacentral:rRNA from 1 species